ACGUAGGGCGCAAGCGUUAUCCGGAAUUAUUGGGCGUAAAGAGCUCGUAGGCGGUUUGUCGCGUCUGCCGUGAAAGUCCGGGGCUCAACUCCGGAUCUGCGGUGGGUACGGGCAGACUAGAGUGAUGUAGGGGAGACUGGAAUUCCUGGUGUAGCGGUGGAAUGCGUAGAGAUCCGGAAGAACACCGGUGGCGAAGGCGGCCUACUGGGCCAGCACUGACGCUGAGGCGCGAAAGCUCGGGGAGCGAACGGGA
rnacentral:rRNA from 1 species